CAGUAGCCACGGUAAUACAGAGGUCUCAAGCGUUGUUCGGAUUCAUUGGGCGUAAAGGGUGCGUAGGUGGCGGUGUAAGUCUAACGUGAAAUCUCGGGGCUCAACCUCGAAAUUGCGUCGGAUACUGCAUUGCUAGAGGAUUGUAGAGGAGAGUGGAAUUCAUGGUGUAGCAGUGAAAUGCGUAGAUCUCAUGAGGAAGACCAGUUGCGAAGGCGACUCUCUGGGCAAUUCCUGACACUGAGGCACGAAAGCGUGGGGAGCAAACAGGAUUAGAUACCCCGGUAGUCCCUGUCUCUUAUAC
rnacentral:rRNA from 1 species